rnacentral:misc_RNA from 1 species
GAGUGGUGAUUGACGUGUUUGGGUACAUUGGAUCCCUGCUUGGGCAGCGACAACGGACCUUGCUCGUCUCUUCAGUUGUUGGCAUAGGCACAUUGAGCCUUGGCCGAAUGAUGUUUUCCUGUGUUGUAUACCCCCAUUACAAGGGCAUUGAAUUUGCUCAAUUGCAUAUGUUUGCUUCUUGUUGCGUCCUUUUGGAUUUAGGCAUGAAGUGAACGCUGAAGCAUUGAUUGUGUUCCACUUUCCUUGCAGCCAUGCAUGGGUUGUUGGGCCAUGAUCCCUGCUCGAUCUCUUGGUUCCAGAAUACCUUGUGGCAUGAGGCAAUAGUCUCUAUUCGCCCCUUAUUGAGCAUUUAACGCUACGUGCAAAUGACAGUUGUGGUCGUUUUGAUUAGGUCUUUAUGGCUUGAUUCAUACGGUCCCAACGUCGGUGAGGAAUGCUACCUGGUUGAUCCUGCCAGUAGUCAUAUGCUUGUCUCAAAGAUUAA